rnacentral:rRNA from 1 species
AUACGUAAGGGGCGAGCGUUGUCCGGAUUCACUGGGCGUAAAGGGCGCGUAGGCGGCGAUACAAGUCAGAGGUGAAAGCUAUGGGCUCAACCCAUAAACGGCCUUUGAAACUGUAUUGCUUGAGUAUUGCAGAGGAAAGUGGAAUUCAUGGUGUAGCGGUGAAAUGCGUAGAUAUCAUGGAGAACACCUAUGGCGAAGGCAGCUUUCUGGGCAAAUACUGACGCUGAGGCGCGAAAGCUAGGGUAGCGAACAGGAUUAGAAACCCGGGUAGUCC